rnacentral:rRNA from 1 species
AUAUCUGAACCUUCGGGGAACGAUAACGGCGUCGAGCGGCGGACGGGUGAGUAAUGCCUAGGAAAUUGCCUUGAUGUGGGGGAUAACCAUUGGAAACGAUGGCUAAUACCGCAUAAUGCCUACGGGCCAAAGAGGGGGACCUUCGGGCCUCUCGCGUCAAGAUAUGCCUAGGUGGGAUUAGCUAGUUGGUGAGGUAAUGGCUCACCAAGGCGACGAUCCCUAGCUGGUCUGAGAGGAUGAUCAGCCACACUGGAACUGAGACACGGUCCAGACUCCUACGGGAGGCAGCAGUGGGGAAUAUUGCACAAUGGGCGCAAGCCUGAUGCAGCCAUGCCGCGUGUAUGAAGAAGGCCUUCGGGUUGUAAAGUACUUUCAGCAGUGAGGAAGGGGGUGUCGUUAAUAGCGGCAUCUCUUGACGUUAGCUGCAGAAGAAGCACCGGCUAACUCCGUGCCAGCAGCCGCGGUAAUACGGAGGGUGCGAGCGUUAAUCGGAAUUACUGGGCGUAAAGCGCAUGCAGGUGGUUUGUUAAGUCAGAUGUGAAAGCCCGGGGCUCAACCUCGGAACUGCAUUUGAAACUGGCAAACUAGAGUACUGUAGAGGGGGGUAGAAUUUCAGGUGUAGCGGUGAAAUGCGUAGAGAUCUGAAGGAAUACCAGUGGCGAAGGCGGCCCCCUGGACAGAUACUGACACUCAGAUGCGAAAGCGUGGGGAGCAAACAGGAUUAGAUACCCUGGUAGUCCACGCCGUAAACGAUGUCUACUUGGAGGUUGUGGCCUUGAGCCGUGGCUUUCGGAGCUAACGCGUUAAGUAGACCGCCUGGGGAGUACGGUCGCAAGAUUAAAACUCAAAUGAAUUGACGGGGGCCCGCACAAGCGGUGGAGCAUGUGGUUUAAUUCGAUGCAACGCGAGACCUUACCUACUCUUGACAUCCAGAGACUUAGCAGAGAUGCAUUGUGCUUCAGGACUCUGAGACAGUGCUGCAUGCUGUCGUCAGCUCGUG